AUUGAACGCUGGCGGCAUGCCUUACACAUGCAAGUCGAACGGCAGCACGGGUGCUUGCACCUGGUGGCGAGUGGCGAACGGGUGAGUAAUACAUCGGAACGUACCUUAUCGUGGGGGCUAACAAAUUGAAAAAUUUGCUAAUACCGCAUAAUACUCUGAGGAGGAAAGCGGGGGGUUCGUAAGAACAUCGUCAGAUUAGAGCGGCCGAUGGCUGAGUAGCUAGUUGGUGAGGUAAAGGCCCACCAAGGCAACGAUCAGUAGCAGGUCUGAGAGGAUGAUCUGCCACACUGGAACUGAGAAACGGUCCAGACUCCUACGGGAGGCAGCAGUGGGGAAUUUUGGACAAUGGACGAAAGUCUGAUCCAGCAAUGCCGCGUGAGUGAAGAAGGCCUUCGGGUUGUAAAGCUCUUCUGUCAGUGAAGAAAACUUUAAUAAUAACACUAUUAAAGCAUGACGGUAACUGAAGAAUAAGGACCGGCUAACUACGUGCCAGCAGCCGCAGUAA
rnacentral:rRNA from 1 species